CUUACGAGUAGGGCUACACACGUGCUACAAUGGCGUAUACAAAGAGAAGCGACCUCGCGAGAGCAAGCGGACCUCAUAAAGUACGUCGUAGUCCGGAUUGGAGUCUGCAACUCGACUCCAUGAAGUCGGAAUCGCUAGUAAUCGUAGAUCAGAAUGCUACGGUGAAUACGUUCCCGGGCCUUGUACACACCGCCCGUCACACCAUGGGAGUGGGUUGCAAAAGAAGUAGGUAGCUUAACCUUCGGGAGGGCGCUUACCACUUUGUGAUUCAUGACUGGGGUGAAGUCGUAACAAGGUAACCGUAGGGGAACCUGCGGUUGGAUCACCUCC
rnacentral:rRNA from 1 species